GGAAAGUAUGGUAGCAAGGCUGAAACUUAAAGGAAUUGACGGAAGGGCACCACCAGGAGUGGAGCCUGCGGCUUAAUUUGACUCAACACGGGAAACCUCACCAGACUCGGACGAUAUAUAAAAAUGAAAUGCAUAUUAUUAUUAAUAGUGUCCAGAUUACUGUGUUAAACUAAUGAAAAAAUAAUACCCGGUUUUUUUCUUCGUCCUUCUUAUA
rnacentral:ncRNA from 1 species